GACAGAGGGUGCAAACGUUUGUUCGGAAUUACUGGGCGUAAAGCGCGUGUAGGCUGCUCAGAAAGUCGGAUGUGAAAGCCCUGGGCUUAACCUAGGAAGUGCAUUCGAAACUUCUGAGCUUGAGUUCUGGAGAGGAAGGCGGAAUUCUCGGUGUAGAGGUGAAAUUCGUAGAUAUCGAGAGGAACACCGGUGGCGAAGGCGGCCUUCUGGACAGUGACUGACGCUGGAGACGCGAAAGCGUGGGGAGCAAACAGG
rnacentral:rRNA from 1 species